AUUGAACGCUGGCGGCAGGCCUAACACAUGCAAGUCGAGCGGAUGAAGGGUGCUUGCUCCUGGAUUCAGCGGGGGACGGGUGUGUAAUGCCUAUGAAUCUGCCUGGUAGGGGGGUAUAACGUCCGGAAACGGGCGCUAAUACCGCAUACGUCCUGAGGGAGAAAGUGGGGGAUCUUCGGACCUCACGCUCUCAGAUGAGUCUACGUCGGACUAGCUAGUUGGUGGGUUAAAGGCCUACCAAGCCGACGUUCCGUAACUGGACUGAGAGAAUGAUUGCGCACACUGGAACGGAAACAGGGUCCAGACUCCUACGGGAGGGAGCAGUGGGGAAAAUUGGACAAUGGGCGCAACCAUGAUCCAGCCAUGGCGAGUGUGUGAAGAAGGCAUUCGGGUUGUAAAGCCCUUUAAGUUGGGAGAAAGGGCAGUAGGUUAAGACCUUGCUGUUGUGACGUUACCAAGAGAAUAAGCACCGGCUAACUUCGUG
rnacentral:rRNA from 1 species